rnacentral:rRNA from 1 species
UGCAAGUCGAACGGUAACAGAUGGAAGCUUGCUUCCAUGCUGACGAGUGGCGCACGGGUGAGUAAUCUAUAGUUGAUCUGCCCCUUGGAGAGGGAUAGCCACUGGAAACGGUGAUUAAUACCUCAUACUCCUUUCGGUUUAAAUACCGAUUGGGAAACGUCUUUUCGCCAAGGGAUGAGACUAUAGCGCAUCAGUUAGUUGGUAGGGUAAUGGCCUACCGAGACAAUGACGCGUAGCGGGUCUGAGAGGAUGAUCCGCCACACUGGUACUGAGACACGGACCAGACUCCUACGGGAGGCAGCAGUGAGGAAUAUUGCACAAUGGGGGAAACCCUGAUGCAGCAACGCCGCGUGGAGGAUGACGCAUUUCGGUGUGUAAACUCCUUUUAUAGGGGAAGAUAAUGACGGUACCCUAUGAAUAAGCACCGGCUAACUCCGUGCCAGCAGCCGCGGUAAUACGGAGGGUGCAAGCGUUACUCGGAAUCACUGGGCGUAAAGCGCGCGCAGGCGGGCUGAUAAGUUGGAUGUGAAAUCCUAUGGCUCAACCAUAGAACUGCAUCCAAAACUGUCAGUCUAGAGUCUGGGAGGGGAAGAUGGAAUUAGUUGUGUAGGGGUAAAAUCCGUAGAGAUAACUAGGAAUACCAAAAGCGAAGGCGAUCUUCUGGAACAGUACUGACGCUGAGGCGCGAAAGCGUGGGGAGCAAACAGGAUUAGAUACCCUGGUAGUCCACGCCCUAAACGAUGAAUGUUAGUCGUUGGUGAGCUCGUCUCAUCAGUGAUGCAGCUAACGCAUUAAACAUUCCGCCUGGGGAGUACGGUCGCAAGAUUAAAACUCAAAGGAAUAGACGGGGACCCGCACAAGUGGUGGAGCAUGUGGUUUAAUUCGAAGAUACGCGAAGAACCUUACCUGGCCUUGACAUUGAUAGAAUCUUUCAGAGAUGAGAGAGUGCCCUUCGGGGAGCUUGAAAACAGGUGCUGCACGGCUGUCGUCAGCUCGUGUCGUGAGAUGUUGGGUUAAGUCCCGCAACGAGCGCAACCCUCGUGACUAGUUACUAACGGUUCGGCCGAGGACUCUAGUCAGACUGCCUCCGCAAGGAGGAGGAAGGUGAGGACGACGUCAAGUCAUCAUGGCCCUUACGGCCAGGGCGACACACGUGCUACAAUGGGUAGGACAAUGAGAUGCAAUACCGCGAGGUGGAGCAAAUCUAUAAACCUACUCUCAGUUCGGAUAGCAGUCUGCAACUCGACUGCUUGAAGCUGGAAUCACUAG